AUGUAACGGGGCUAAGCCAGUUACCGAAGCUGCGGAUGCAUCGCAAGAUGCGUGGUAGGAGAGCGUUCUGUAAGCCUGUGAAGGUGGGUUGUGAAGCCUGCUGGAGGUAUCAGAAGUGCGAAUGCUGACAUGAGUAGCGUUAAAGGGGGUGAAAAGCCCCCUCGCCGAAAGCGCAAGGUUUCCUACGCAACGUUCAUCGGCGUAGGGUGAGUCGGCCCCUAAGGCGAGGCAGAGAUGCGUAGCUGAUGGGAAACAGGUCAAUAUUCCUGUACCGAUCAAUAGUGCGAUGUGGGGACGGAGAAGGUUAGCUCAGCCGGGUGUUGGAUGUCCCGGUUCAAGCCUGUAGUCGUGCCUGGUAGGCAAAUCCGCCGGGCUUAGAUGAGGGGUGAUAACGAGGAGGCUUGCCUCCGAAGUGAGUGAUACCCUGCUUCCAGGAAAAGCCACUAAGCUUCAGCUAUUGACGACCGUACCGCAAACCGACACUGGUGCGCGAGAUGAGUAUUCUAAGGCGCUUGAGAGAACUCUGGAGAAGGAACUCGGCAAAUUGACACCGUAACUUCGGAAGAAGGUGUGCCUUUAGUAGGUGUAGUUGUACAAACGAAGCCCAAUGAGGCCGCAGAGAAUCGGUGGCUGCAACUGUUUAUUAAAAACACAGCA
rnacentral:rRNA from 12 species